rnacentral:rRNA from 1 species
CCUACGGGUGGCAGCAGUGGGGAAUAUUGCACAAUGGGGGAAACCCUGAUGCAGCGACGCCGCGUGAGUGAAGAAGUAUCUCGGUACGUAAAGCUCUAUCAGCAGGAAAGAAAAUGACGGUCCCUGACUAAGAAGCCCCGGCUAACUACGUGCCAGCAGCCGCGGUAAUACGUAGGGGGCAAGCGUUAUCCGGAUUUACUGGGUGUAAAGGGAGCGUAGACGGCGCUGCAAGUCCGGAGUGAAAGCCCAUGGCUUAACCAUGGUACUGCUCUGGAAACUGUAGAGCUUGAGUGCGGGAGAGGUAAGUGGAAUUCCCGGUGUAGCGGUGGAAUGCGUAGAUAUCGGGAGGAACACCAGAGGCGAAGGCGACUUACUGGACUGUAACUGACGCUGAGGCUCGAAAGCGUGGGGAGCAAACAGGAUUAGAUACCCUGGUAGUC